rnacentral:rRNA from 1 species
CCUACGGGAGGCAGCAGUGGGGAAUAUUGCACAAUGGGGGAAACCCUGAUGCAGCGACGCCGCGUGAGUGAAGCAGUAUUUCGGUAUGUAAAGCUCUAUCAGCAGGGAAGAAAAUGACGGUACCUGUUUAAGAAGCCACGGCUAAAUACGUGCCAGCAGCCGCGGUAAUACGUAGGGGGCAAGCGUUAUCCGGAUUUACUGGGUGUAAAGGGAGCGUAGACGGCGGCAAAAGUCUGGGGUGAAAGGCCGGGGCUUAACCCCGGAACUGCCUUGGAAACUGUGAAGCUAGAGUGCAUGAGAGGUAAGUGGAAUUCCUAGUGUAGCGGUGAAAUGCGUAGAUAUUAGGAGGAACACCAGUGGCGAAGGCGGCUUACUGGACUGUAACUGACGUUGAGGCACGAAAGCGUGGGGAGCAAACAGGAUUAGAUACCCGGGUAGUC